rnacentral:ncRNA from 22 species
ACCUUAUUUAGAGCGGUGGAGUGAAUAGGCACUAUGAAACCCGGCAACCGGCAAAGGUACGGUGCUAAUACCUACGGGAUUUUUCCGAAUGAUGAGUA